UCGGUCCCGGUUCACGACAGGCAACCCGCCCGUCGACCCGGUACC
rfam:Streptomyces autolyticus strain CGMCC0516, complete genome.